GCCCAGGCCAAUCAUUGAGUUUCCCUGCGUAAAGAAGGCACGUCUGUUCUUCCGCUAUUCUGCAACAUGGUGCUCGCCUCAGAAUCUGGCAAGACGUGCCACUUCAACGGCCGCCGUGAUAAGUGCCUGCCAUGGAUGCUGCGACUGGAAAUAGCACGAGUGGCUUGUGGUGCAUAUCGCAGGCCAAUAAUCAAGACAGCGAGUGACGCAAGUCUGGAGGGAGACGUCCUGGGCAAGCUACUGCAGGGGCUCCCAUAUCGCUCUGCUGCUCACCGUCACC